GACGAACGCUGGCGGCGUGCCUAAUACAUGCAAGUCGAACGCAGUGGGGACGGGUUCGUAACACGUGGGUAACCUCCCAUCAGAGGGGAUAACCCUUGGAAACAGGUGCUAAACCGCUACUGAUGUAUGGACCCGGGGUGCAUUAGCUAGUGGGGGGGGUAACGGCUCACCAAGGCCACGAUGCAUAGCGGACCUGAGAGGGUGAGCAGCCACACUGGGACUGAGACACGGCCCAGACUCCUACGGGAGGCAGCAGUAGGGAAUCUUCGGCAAUGGACGAAAGUCUGAUCGAGCAACGCCGCGUGAGUGAAGAAGGUCUUCGGAUCGUAAAACUCUGUUGUCAGAGAAGCGGUAUCUAAACAGAAAGCAACGGCUAACUACGUGCCAGCAGCCGCGGUAAUAC
rnacentral:rRNA from 1 species